UACGUAGGCAGCGAGCGUUGUUCGGAGUUACUGGGCGUAAAGCGCGCGUAGGCGGCUCGUUAAGUGUGGAGUGAAAUGCCGGGGCUCAACCCCGGAACUGCUUUACAUACUGGCGAGCUUGAGGGAUGCAGAGGUUUGUGGAAUUCCUGGUGUAACGGUGAAAUGUGUUGAUAUCAGGAGGAACACCCAUGGCGAAGGCAGCAAACUGGGCAUCAUCUGACGCUGAGGCGCGAAAGCGUGGG
rnacentral:rRNA from 1 species